AUUGAACGCUGGCGGCAGGCCUAACACAUGCAAGUCGAGCGGAUGAAGGGAGCUUGCUCCUGGAUUCAGCGGCGGACGGGUGAGUAAUGCCUAGGAAUCUGCCUGGUAGUGGGGGAUAACGUCCGGAAACGGGCGCUAAUACCGCAUACGUCCUGAGGGAGAAAGUGGGGGAUCUUCGGACCUCACGCUAUCAGAGGAGCCUAGGUCGGAUUAGCUAGUUGGUGGGGUAAAGGCCUACCAAGGCGACGAUCCGUAACUGGUCUGAGAGGAUGAUCAGUCACACUGGAACUGAGACACGGUCCAGACUCCUACGGGAGGCAGCAGUGGGGAAUAUUGGACAAUGGGCGAAAGCCUGAUCCAGCCAUGCCGCGUGUGUGAAGAAGGUCUUCGGAUUGUAAAGCACUUUAAGUUGUGAGGAAGGGCAGUAAGUUAAUACCUUGCUGUUUUGACGUUACCAACAGAAUAAGCACCGGCUAACUUCGUG
rnacentral:rRNA from 1 species